rnacentral:rRNA from 1 species
GGGGGAUAUUGCGCAAUGGGGGCAACCCUGACGCAGCAACGCCGCGUGAAGGAUGAAGGUUUUCGGAUUGUAAACUUCUUUUAUUAAGGACGAAACUUGACGGUACUUAAUGAAUAAGCUCCGGCUAACUACGUGCCAGCAGCCGCGGUAAUACGUAGGGAGCAAGCGUUGUCCGGAUUUACUGGGUGUAAAGGGUGCGUAGGCGGCUUUGCAAGUCAGAUGUGAAAUCUAUGGGCUCAACCCAUAAACUGCAUUUGAAACUGUAGAGCUUGAGUGAAGUAGAGGCAGGCGGAAUUCCCCGUGUAGCGGUGAAAUGCGUAGAGAUGGGGAGGAACACCAGUGGCGAAGGCGGCCUGCUGGGCUUUAACUGACGCUGAGGCACGAAAGCGUGGGUAGCAAACAGGAUUAGAUACCCUGGUAGUCCACGCUGUAAACGAUGAUUACUAGGUGUGGGGGGUCUGACCCCUUCCGUGCCGGAGUUAACACAAUAAGUAAUCCACCUGGGGAGUACGGCCGCAAGGUUGAAACUCAAAGGAAUUGACGGGGGCCCGCACAAGCAGUGGAGUAUGUGGUUUAAUUCGAAGCAACGCGAAGAACCUUACCAGGUCUUGACAUCCAACUAACGAAGUAGAGAUACAUUAGGUGCCCUUCGGGGAAAGUUGAGACAGGUGGUGCAUGGUUGUCGUCAGCUCGUGUCGUGAGAUGUUGGGUUAAGUCCCGCAACGAGCGCAACCCUUGCUAUUAGUUGCUACGCAAGAGCACUCUAAUAGGACUGCCGUUGACAAAACGGAGGAAGGUGGGGACGACGUCAAAUCAUCAUGCCCCUUAUGACCUGGGCUACACACGUGCUACAAUGGCGUAAACAAAGGGAAGCAAAGCUGUGAAGCCGAGCAAAUCUCAAAAAUAACGUCUCAGUUCGGACUGUAGUCUGCAACCCGACUACACGAAGCUGGAAUCGCUAGUAAUCGCAGAUCAGAAUGCUGCGGUGAAUACGUUCCCG